rnacentral:rRNA from 1 species
GAAUUCGCCCUUAAAGCUUUUUGCUGGCUCAGGACGAACGCUGGCGGCGUGCUUAACACAUGCAAGUCGAACGGGGUUGUUGAGGAGCUUGCUCUGAAGCAACCUAGUGGCGGACGGGUGAGUAACGCGUGAGCAACCUGUCUCAUACAGGGGGAUAACGACUGGAAACAGUCGCUAAUACCGCAUAAGACCACGAUCUCGCAUGGGAUAGAGGUCAAAGGAGUAAUCCGGUAUGAGGUGGGCUCGCGUCUGAUUAGAUAGUUGGUGAGGUAACGGCUCACCAAGUCGACGAUCAGUAGCCGACCUGAGAGGGUGAUCGGCCACAUUGGAACUGAGAUACGGUCCAAACUCCUACGGGAGGCAGCAGUGGGGAAUAUUGGGCAAUGGGCGCAAGCCUGACCCAGCAACGCCGCGUGAGGGAAGAAGGUUUUCGGAUUGUAAACCUCUGUCCUAAAUGAAAAGAAGAAGAUGGUAAUUUAGGAGGAAGCCCCGGCUAACUACGUGCCAGCAGCCGCGGUAAUACGUAGGGGGCGAGCGUUGUCCGGAAUGAUUGGGCGUAAAGGGCGCGUAGGCGGCCCGUUAAGUCUGGAGUGAAAGUCCUGCUUUUAAGGUGGGAAUUGCUUUGGAUACUGAUGGGCUUGAGUGCAGGAGAGGUUAUCGGAAUUCCCGGUGUAGCGGUGAAAUGCGUAGAGAUCGGGAGGAACACCAGUGGCGAAGGCGGGUAACUGGACUGCAACUGACGCUGAGGCGCGAAAGUGUGGGGAGCAAACAGGAUUAGAUACCCUGGUAGUCCACACUGUAAACGAUGAAUGCUAGGUGUAGGAGGUAUCGACCCCUUCUGUGCCGGAGUUAACACAAUAAGCAUUCCGCCUGGGGAGUACGGCCGCAAGGUUGAAACUCAAAGGAAUUGACGGGGGCCCGCACAAGCAGCGGAGCAUGUUGUUUAAUUCGAAGCAACGCGAAGAACCUUACCAGGUCUUGACAUCGAUGUAAACCCCUAGAGAUAGGGGGUGUCUUCGGACAACAGAAGACAGGUGGUGCAUGGUUGUCGUCAGCUCGUGUCGUGAGAUGUUGGGUUAAGUCCCGCAACGAGCGCAACCCCUAUGGUCAGUUACUAACGUGUAAAGGCGAGGACUCGACAAGACUGCCGGGGACAAACCGGAGGAAGGUGGGGAUGACGUCAAAUCAUCAUGCCCCUUAUGACCUGGGCUACACAUCGUGUUACAAUGGGUGGUACAAAGGGCAGCGAGACCGCGAGGUUAAGCAAAUCCCAUAAAACCACUCUCAGUUCGGAUUGCAGGCUGCAACUCGCCUGCAUGAAGCUGGAAUCGCUAGUAAUCGCGGAUCAGCAUGCCGCGGUGAAUACGUACGCGGCCCUUGCACUCACCGCCCGUCA